GAGGGGAGACCACAUCUAGCAAGGACACUUCUUUUUUGGUGACAGUGACUUAGGGAACCAAUCAAACCUUUCCUGGCAGGGAGGUGCCUGUAGUUUGCAGUCUGAUCAUUGUGGCACCAAGGGUAGGAUGGAGAGCAGUCGUGUACCUGGAAAGGCACGGUAUUCCCUCAUUUGUCCUCCCUUGUAAUUCUUUAUGUGGAUCCGAGGUUUUUUUCCUUGUCAGUGGUGGCCCCUAGCUUAAAUAUUUCCCAGACUAACCAGAGGACUAGUUGUUCUGCCAGAGGACCUGGGCUAUAAUGAAUAUUUAAUUAGUGUUUGCUAAUCGUUUUCUUAGUUACUCUCCUUGUGCAUGAUAUAUGGGAAAAUGUCUUGACAGAUGCUUUUAAGUUAAAGAUAUUAAGUGGAUGCCAGGUACUUGCAUUUUAUUUUGUUCUGAUUUCCUCAAGUCUCAGUUGCUGCCACUCUUGUUCAACUCUGUCUGCCUGCUGAUUCUCUUCCUGACAAAUGUCCGCUCUUUGCUUUCUCCAGUCUGUGCACUGAGGAUGAUGGUUUCAGUUGCAGAAUUAAUGGAAUCAGAGCCUAAAGAUGCUAAUAUUUCAAGGUAUAGGCUACUUAAAUUUGAUCCAAAUGAUUACUGUAUACUACAUGGCAUGAUAGAAAACAUGGGUGUCCAUAUAGUCUUGGUUGAUUUUCGUUUGAAACAUCAAGUCAGAUUUAUAGAAGUAUGAUAUUAGAAUUGAGCUUUAAAAAGAAAAGGUAACCUGGUUGAGAAAAGACUCAGAAUCCUUCCACUGGGAGAUGCCCACUGUUAACAUCUUGUGAACAGCACAUUUAUGUAUCCCCAAGAGAGUUCUAAGGGGGAAACUCUUGAAUCUAAAGUCAGAGUAGAUUUAAUGUUUGGAGAUUUUGUUUUGAAAAAAGAUACUCCUGUAUGCACAUGUAUACACACACACAGAGUUAAGGUUCAUUUCUAUAACAUGAUUAAAUAAAAUUACAUGGGCCGAGGUGUAGUUUAGUGGUGGGAUUCCUUCCUAGUAUAUGUAAGGCCUACAUUUGAUCCAUAGUACCAUAUUAAAAGUAAUAACUUUCAAGGUAUAGGUGACUUUUUGGGGGAUAUUUGCAACUUAAUUAUUUGAUAAAACUGAAGUUUUAGUUGAAAAGAGUGAAUAUUCAAGAAAACUAUGAUAAAAUUUUGGUUAAAAAAUAAAGAUAUUUCUGUUUGGGGCUAAGAAUUAUAAUUUUAAGUCCAUUACUCUGUUUCUUUUACUUAAACAAGUUCCUUCUUUAUUCAUGUCUUAAUUUCCUUUAUAAUAUGCCCAUAAAAAAGGUUCAUAUCUUGAUUCUGUCACUUCCAGGUAUGAGGAGCAGCCAUUCUUGUUUAAUUGUGUAUAACAGCUGCCCUGUAAUUGCAUUUUAUUUGUCAGACGGGCUGUUCAUUUUGGUAGUCAGGAGCUAUAUGCUGGUCAUUGAGCUCUUGAAAUACAGCUAAUUUAACUAAGGUGACUAUUAAAAUAAAAUUUUCUUGAGUAUUGAUUCAGUUAUUGGAAAACUUUUAGAUGUGUUUUAAGCAACUUGGAUACGUGAGUUUAUCAAUUGUAUAGUUUAUGAAAUUGAAAUAUAGUUAAAGUAUUUCUACUGAAAAUGUAUACAAAUUGAAAUGUGCUAUAAGUGUAAAGUACAUACUGUAUUUAGAAGCCUCAUACACAAAAGUGUAAAAUAUUGAAAACUUUCUAUGAUAUGUUGAAAUGAUACUUUAGAUAAAUUCGUUAAAUAAAAUAUAUUAUUAAAACUAA